UAAGCUCGGAGGGUUUUUCUUUCUUUCUUUUUCCUUUUCUUUUUUUCCUUAUGAAAACGUUUUGUAGAGCUUGCAGGAAAAGACAUAUCUGGACUCAUUUUACUUUUGUUUUUGGUUUGCAGGAGGGUUUUUCACUAGAGAUUCAAACACUUUAAUGGUUGUGGGACUAUGAUGUUUUUCUCUUUCUUUUUUGACUCGGUUCCUAGGAAUUUGAUCAGCUUAUAUGGAAGAUCCAAGGUGAAUGGAUAGCAUCCUACUUGAAAGAGGAAAGACGAAGAGUACUGAUAGCUUUGGGCGAGAUCCCUUGGGGAGAAGGCCCUGCACAUAGCUGGCAAGUAGGACUGAUGCUGGUAGCCUCUGGAGACUACAAUCAUCCCUCAGUAUCCACUGCAGAUUGGUUCCAGAACUCCUGGCCUAUACCCAAAUCCAGCAAUACUCAAGUUCCACAGUUGGCUCUGUGGAACUGCAGAUAUGAAGUCAGCCCUCCACACAUGUUGAUUCCACAUCCCACCAAGACUGUGUUUUCCAUCCAUGGAUGGCUGAAAAAAAAUCUGCAUUGAUGCUAAAUUGGGGACUUCCAAUACUGUAGCACAAACUUAUAUCAAAACACAUUGAUCAUUAAAUUCUGCAGGAAGCAGCAAGUGGUAUCUGAAGUCCCUGCUGAGGACACCGUAAGAUUUGAUGCACUGAGACUUAAGGUGGAAGUCUGUGCAUAUUGACAUGUGUGUAAUGGAAAGGCACCACAUGAGGCCCGCGUUUGUAUUUAUACGAGCCCACUUCCUUCAACAUCUGUGACAAGAAUAGAAUGGGGACCAGCAAGAGGCCCUCCACUUUCAGUGUCUCGUCAAAGUCUGGCUGUUCCUGGUCCUGUCAUAAUAUGGAAAUGGUCCCCUUCUUACUGUGCAAGCCACGCUCACACGUGGAUUAGCCCUUUGAACAUCAAGUUCAUUUCUCUGCUUUUAUUGUUAGUACUUGUAAAUCAGACCCUGCGUACCGCCCAGACAGUUCUGUUUCCAACCGAGAAGACCGACUUAGGAGAGCCUUAAGAGGAAGAGACAUCAAAGCUCAUGAGAGUCAGCUCCCCUACGAAAUGCCAAUCAAGCCAAGCCUGAUCAUGUUUUCCUUUCUUUUAACUAGCAGACUUCAUUGUCCAGCAACUUUCCAAGCACAAUUAUCACUCUAUAGACACUCUAGGCACUUGAAAUCAAUCCCCACAUGUACCCACUGGAAUUACUUUGGAAUAACAAUAGGUUCUGUGGAUAUUUCUCAGUUUAUUUAAGUACCAUUUCCCCAAGGUUAUAGUAUAUAUUUUAUAACUCUAAUAGUUUUAAUGGUAAAUAUAAUGCUAUGAUAACUGAUGUAGUAUAAUGCUAAUAUGUUACAUUUGCAGUGUGUUUUAAAUUUGUUUACAUACUGUGUUAUAGCUACUCUUUUAAAUCAUAAGUGGAGAUUUUCUAUGUGACCAGUGAUAUUUGAGUAAAGAUACUAAAAAUUUCACUGAAAA